rnacentral:rRNA from 1 species
UACGAAGGGGCUAGCGUUGCUCGGAAUCACUGGGCGUAAAGGGUGCGUAGGCGGGUCUUAAGUCAGGGUGAAAUCCUGGAGCUCAACUCCAGAACUGCCUUGAUACUGAAGAUCUUGAGUUCGGGAGAGGUGAGUGGAACUGCGAGUGUAGAGGUGAAAUUCGUAGAUAUUCGCAAGAACACCAGUGGCGAAGGCGGCUCACUGGCCCGAUACUGACGCUGAGGCACGAAAGCGUGGGGAGCAAACAGGG